UCUCGUGAGAACACGGAAAUCGCAUGAGACUUGAUACACGCGCGAACAGUCCUCUUCCUAACGCAAGCAAUGGCGAAGGUGUGUAUUUGUCGUAAGUGCGCGAAGAGAAGCGCAUUAACGUGUCCCACUGGGAGACUAUCUGAUAACGUUAAUCGACUGGAGUGUAAUGAGCCGACCGAGGACGUCUGUGACUGAAGACUUCGCUCUUCCACGUCGGUCGCUGGUGUGUUUAUUUUGGUCUACGUUGCGCUGGGAGCAGAUCUAGAUUGUCCCGCGUCAGCACGGCAGAUAGAGAGCUGAGGGGGCUACGUCCAGGAGAGGCGCAAGGCUCUGCAGCUACAAGCUAGGAGUAAUUCACUUUUUCCACCUUCUCUGCUGGGAAGAAGAAAACAACAUUUGAGCGUCUGGUCUGAUGGUUGCUCCCUGUGCAGUCCGGCGUCAGAUAUCCCUGAGCUGAUGAUUCACUCGGCCAGCUUGUUUUCAUGUCAUGACCUUCUGAUUAGUCAUGAUUUACAGGAUUAGACUGCAGAAGUUGACAGCUGCAUGAAAAGGAAGUGUGAUCCCUGAGGCCGUCAGCUCAUUCGGCUCUUGAAUGGUGAACCUUCAGGUAGCUCCUGUUUGUAGCAGCGGAGAAUCCAACACUUUGGUCCAGACUGGUUACUCUCACAUGUUAAGUACAACACCAGACAAGCUGAAGAGGCCUGCAGUGCAAGUCGAAAAGUGGAAACACUUCAGCUUGGAGAGGCUGAAUUUGACGGACGACAUUUGGCCACCGUCAUGACUAAUGACUACACAACAGUGAGCAUUCUGCGUUGACUUCGACAGAUCGACUGUAGUCCUGCCAGUCGUUUCCCUCUCAUGAGAUCGUCUGGACCUCUGACCUAACAGCCUCCUACCCUGUACUUUAACCCAACGGCCUCGGAAAACCUCUGUUCCUAUUUAUACCACACACUCACACAGCUGAAAAUUACCGCUCGUUAAAAGCAGCUCUUGUGGCGCACAGCGAGCUUGUUAGCAAUUUGUUUUGGGGGUUUGAGGGGGGGGGGUUAUCAGGCAGUGGGCUGCACGUGGAUUUGGAUGCACAUUUGAUCUUUGCUGCGAUACAAAUUGUAACCGCAAGAUAUUCAAAUCAAUGUGUAAUAUCUUUAUCUGUUGUAGAGAACUCAGUGUCAAUGGCAUCAAUGUUUUGUCUGUGGGGUUCAGAGGAUGAUAUCCUCAGGAAUACUGACCUGACUCCAAGUACAUUUCCCAGAAGAUCCUAAAGGUUCAGAAGAUCUUCUCGAAUGCCAUCAUCAGGAAAAAUGAUUCAACUUCAGCUCCUCAUGUUGGGCAGGCGGCACAAAAUCACACAAUGUGGCCUUAAAUGAUGGAGGGUACGAGUGUCAAAGUGUCUGAGAACGAGGAAACUCCUCACUGGAUAGCUGACUGAAGUUUAUUCAUUCAAAUUUAUAACCUGAAGCUCAGUUCCUGUGAAUAGUUUGCAAUAAACAAAUAAUAAAUAAUACAUAAAUUGAUGUAUAUUGAAACCAAGUGUGAAAAGCAGAUUGUUUGGUGUUAACAAGACCUAAAUAAGUCAUAUAUAUUUAAACGUAUCUAAUGAGGUUAGAUGUUUAAGAAAUGCAGCAAUCUCAAGACUUAAAACAGUAAAAGUUGCUUUUUGUUUGGUUAAAGUUUGGCAGUUCAGCUUAUUUAGCUAAGAGCUUUAGUCAUAGUUUAAAUGAGAUCAAAACAUUGGCAAAAACGUAGCUGUUCCUCUCAGUAGAAAACUUGCUUUCAUGAGUUGGGAAUUCAACCCACGUCACUGAAAUUGAAGGCACAUGUGUCCGACUAAACAAGGAAAUGUUAUCUGACAGCAUCACCGCCGUAUCAGUAAAGCUUCAGGACAGAUGAGUUUUAACAGACAAACUAAUCACUGUGAGAGACAAGCAGCUGGUCAGAAUAAGACGUUUGUUUCUUCAACUCUUCCUGUCUGUGGUGGAAGCAGGUGCUGCGUUUUUCAGCCGCUGGAUGUCUCAGGUCGGAGCAAAACUCCCCAUUUGCUCUUAGUCUCGCCUUGAGAUGCGGCAUCAAUCGGUUUGACUUUACAUGUCGAGGUCAAAGCGCCUCAGAAGACAAACGAUUCGCCGGCAGAUCGGCGGCCCACGCAGUCCCCUUCAGGGCUGUUUGAAGUGGGAGCAUUUUUCUGCCGUCCUGUCAGCGCCGUCGUGCAGAAAGAUCACAAAUCAGAGGAGAAAAUAAAUAAAGCUUCCUCCUCCUACGAUCUUCUGCUGCUCCGGGGAAGAUUAAGGUUUAUUUGUUGCAGCAGGGGAAUCUGAAGAUGAGUGCGAGUCGGUGUGAUAUUUCUGGCUGAAACAUCUCAACAAAGAAAAAGGACAAAAGUGAGGGAGGCUGUUCUUGUCAUGUUAACAUGCAGGUAUAGUCAGCACAUGAGAAAUGACCGUGAGACUAAAAACAUCUCCAACUCUCACCCGAGUGAAGCCCAAACAUCUGGAUGGCCCCCUGGUGGCUGGCUGCAGUACAGCUCAGAAGCCCCUCCCCCUUCAUGUUAGCAGAUGGGACAAAACUCAGUCAGAUGAAUUUUUCCCAAAGAUGGUUUCUGUCAUUUUAGGUAGUUCUUCUCAUGCUGAUGUUUGUUCAAGUGUACGGCCUCACUUUUGCACAGCGGGAGGAAGCGGAGACUCACAAUCCCCAGCAAAAAGAGUUGGUUUGGGAGUUUGGUACCACAUAUGUUAGCAUGCUAAUGUGCUGAUAUAUUGUAGUGUGAACGUUUCACAUUUUAAACCUGAAGAAACCCGUUGAUUGUGGAGGAGUCAGAUGAUCACCAUUAGGAUAUAAAAACAUGUGGGAAUCCACCCAAUUAGCUGAUGAGAUAUUUCAAAGUGGAACAAAGUGAUUGACUGCCAUCCCUGGAGGAGACAAAAUGUCAGACUUUUAGAUGUGUGUCUGCUUUUUGUUUCCUGUUUCCAACCAACAGCCAGGGUAGGUCCUACCCGAACCUUAACCAAGUGGUUAUUAUUGCAACCAUGAUGACGAAGGUCCCCUAACCUUAACAAAGUAGGCAUUUUUAACUCAAGCCAAUGUUUCCCUGAACUUAACCACAUUGUUUUGUGCCUGUACUUAACUAAA